AUGCGGCUCCUCGCCGCGCUACCUGCGGCGGCUCCAUCAGGUAAUGUUCGGCGAAUCCCACCACCGCGAAGCACAACCCGAGGUCCCUUCGCUCUGUGGAGCCCUCCCAUCCAGCUAGAUCCAGCGCUUGAGGCCACCACAACCCACCCGCGACCCAUCCCGCAUGGCUUGGUUCCGGGCGUCGGAUCUGUUGCCGGUGGCCAUGUCGUUGUCGUCCUCGUCUCAUCCACUUGCGGGGAGGAACGUCCAGUGGACAACCUUGCUACGGCUCAGGAUGAAGCAGCCACGAGCUUCCUCUUCCGGCUUCAGGUGAGUUGGUCCACUCCUCCCUCUGCUCUGGUUCGUGGCAGAUCAGGAGAAAUUUUUGUUCUGGAGGUGUUAGGAUUUUCUACUGCUUGGGAGCAAGUGCCUGCUGGUUGA
rnacentral:rRNA from 1 species